rnacentral:rRNA from 1 species
AGAGUUUGAUCAUGGCUCAGAUUAAACGCUGGCGGCAUGCCUUACACAUGCAAGUCGAACGGCAGCACGGGGGCAACCUUGGUGGCGAGUGGCGAACGGUGAGUAAAGCAUCGGAACGUGCCCUGGAGUGGGGGAUAACGUAGCGAAAGUUACGCUAAUACCGCAUAUUCUGUGAGCAGGAAAGCAGGGGAUCGCAAGACCUUGCGCUCUGGGAGCGGCCGAUGUCGGAUUAGCUAGUUGGUGGGGUAAAGGCCUACCAAGGCGACGAUCCGUAGCGGGUCUGAGAGGAUGAUCCGCCACACUGGGACUGAGACACGGCCCAGACUCCUACGGGAGGCAGCAGUGGGGAAUUUUGGACAAUGGGCGAAAGCCUGAUCCAGCCAUGCCGCGUGAGUGAAGAAGGCCUUCGGGUUGUAAAGCUCUUUCGGUGGGGAAGAAAUUGCAUAGGCUAAUACCCCGUGUAGAUGACGGUACCUGGAGAAGAAGCACCGGCUAACUACGUG